rnacentral:rRNA from 1 species
UACGGGGGGGGGCAAGCGUUGUUCGGAAUUACUGGGCGUAAAGGGCUCGUAGGUGGCCAACUAAGUCAGACGUGAAAAUCCCUCGGCUUAACCGGGGAACUGCGUCUGAUACUGGAUGGCUUGAGAUUGGGAGAGGGAUGCGGAAUUCCAGGUGUAGCGGUGAAAUGCGUAGAGAUCAGGAGGAACACCAGUGGCGAAAGGCGACUACCUGGCCUGUUCUUGACGCUGAGGCGCGAAAGCUAGGGGAGCAAACGGGG